UCGAACGGCAGCACAGGAGAGCUUGCUCUCUGGGUGGCGAGUGGCGGACGGGUGAGGAAUGCAUCGGAAUCUACUCUUUCGUGGGGGAUAACGUAGGGAAACUUACGCUAAUACCGCAUACGACCUACGGGUGAAAGCCGGGGACCUUCGGGCCUGGCGCGAAUGAAUGAGCCGAUGCCCGAUUAGCUAGUUGGCGGGGUAAGAGCCCACCAAGGCGACGAUCGGUAGCUGGUCUGAGAGGAUGAUCAGCCACACUGGAACUGAGACACGGUCCAGACUCCUACGGGAGGCAGCAGUGGGGAAUAUUGGACAAUGGGCGCAAGCCUGAUCCAGCCAUACCGCGUGGGUGAAGAAGGCCUUCGGGUUGUAAAGCCCUUUUGUUGGGAAAGAAAAGCAGCUGGUUAAUACCCGGUUGUUCUGACGGUACCCAAAGAAUAAGCACCGGCUAACUUCGUGCCAGCAGCCGCGGUAAUACGAAGGGUGCAAGCGUUACUCGGAAUUACUGGGCGUAAAGCGUGCGUAGGUGGUUGUUUAAGUCUGUCGUGAAAGCCCUGGGCUCAACCUGGGAAUUGCGAUGGAAACUGGGCGACUAGAGUGUGGCAGAGGAUAGUGGAAUUCCUG
rnacentral:rRNA from 1 species